CCUGAUUAUGAUGCUCUGGAUGUUGCCAAC
rnacentral:piRNA from 1 species